ACUCCUACGGGAGGCAGCAGUGGGGAAUAUUGCACAAUGGGCGCAAGCCUGAUGCAGCCAUGCCGCGUGUGUGAAGAAGGCCUUCGGGUUGUAAAGCACUUUCAGUCGUGAGGAAGGUAGUGUAGUUAAUAGCUGCAUUAUUUGUACGUUAGCGACAGAAGAAGCACCGGCUAACUCCGUGCCAGCAGCCGCGGUAAUACGGAGGGUGCGAGCGUUAAUCGGAAUUACUGGGCGUAAAGCGCAUGCAGGUGGUUUGUUAAGUCAGAUGUGAAAGCCCGGGGCUCAACCUCGGAAUUGCAUUUGAAACUGGCAGACUAGAGUACUGGUAGAGGGGGUUAGAAUUUCAGGUGUAGCGGUGAAAUGCGUAGAGAUCUGAAGGAAUACCGGUGGCGAAGGCGGCCCCUGGACAGAUACUGACACUCAGAUGCGAAAGCGUGGGAGCAAACAGGAUUAGAUACCCCUGGUAGCGACUGA
rnacentral:rRNA from 1 species